AAAAGCUUCAAUAUGGCGGACGCCGUGUAACAUAAACAGUGCAAAGAAUGUCAUACAUUUUCGUAAAGUUUUGAAUAGAAUUGGAUUGUUAAAACUAUUUGCGCAUGAGGGUUUUGCAACAUUAAAUUAUUGGACAAAACAGUCAUAUGACUAUAAGAUGAUAACCACACCACCAUCAAGUAGUGCUAUGUAGAUGCUGCGAUGUCAUCAUCAAACAAUUCCCUUACAAGCCAGACCCCCAGGAGCAUGGAGGACCCAGCACCACCCCUGGGUGUGUCAGGGCUAAAUGGAGGGGGUGGGACAGCAUUAACAGGCGGGACACACCCACUGGCGACCAUGGCCAAGCCCCGUUCCACACUAAGUAAGGAAGAAGAAGAGGAAAUUAUGAAAGAAGUGUGCGUGAAUAAUGGAGUCAAGUACGCUAAGAUUUUGACUGCUAGUGAUGAAACAAACCGUGUCCAUCUUCUGGAAAUAUUUUUCGCCGGCUACCCAAAGAUGGUUGGCCUUAACAUGUUUCCGAACUUACGAACACUUGUGAUAAUAAACCAGGCUAGUUUAUCGAGGAUAGAGGGGCUGUCUCACUGUCCAAAGCUGUCGGAGUUGUGGAUUUGUGAAUGUGAUAUCAGCAAAAUCGAGCAGAUGCAGCAUGUGAAACACCUGAAGAAACUCUACUUGUACAGUAACAAGAUUGGUGUCAUUGAGAAUCUAGACGCGCUGACGGAACUCGAGGUCCUCUGGCUUAAUCAUAACGAUAUUGUCAACAUAGAGAACAUUCAGAUGUUGACAAGACUUAAACAGUUGAAUUUAGCAGAAAACAAAAUAGAAAAAAUAGGUCACACAUUAGAUGCCAACCAGAGACUAGAAGAACUCAACCUCUCUGGAAACAGACUCUCGUCUCUCAGGGACUUGACAAACCUGAUGCGGCUUCCCUUCCUAUCCAGCCUGUGCAUGAAGGACCCUCUGUACAGCCCAGCCCCCGUCAGUCUGCUCUGUAACUACGCGACACACGUCCUGUACCAUCUGCCUUCGCUUACCAAGCUAGACACUUACGAUAUCUCUAGUAAAACUAUGACGGAAUUUGCUGAGACGACGGUAUUGAAGAAGAAGAUGUUCUAUAACAUGCGUAUAAGGACGGUGUAUCGUAACCUCGCCCAAGUGAUUGGCAAGAUGCAAGCAUUUCAGCAACAGAUUGUCGACUUCCCACACGAGAGGCUACGAGCCCUCAUUAAUGUUAUGAAAGAGAUAGAGUGUAUAGACGAGAGCCCGGGGCUGGCACAAAGAGAGGAGCCCACAGAUGAUAGCCCAAGCCCGGGCCCGGACAAAACACAGGUGCAAUCUGAGUUGAACCUACAGAAGCUUAGUGCUCAUCCAAACUAUAGCUCCAAACUGGAUGCAAUGAAGGAACGAGUGAAAAAAUGGGAAAGGAAGUGUUCAGAGAUAGAGGCAUUUUACGCUGAGACGGUGACUCGGUUUCGUGACUCGGCCCAUACUCUAGUCAACAGGAUGGUUGUGGAGUUAGAAUCAGGGGGAAAUGUGAGGUUUGAAGAGGGCUCACCCUCUGACUUGUGGUUCACAUCCUGCCAUGACCUGGUGUUGUCACGGUUUUGUGCAGCGGACUAUCGUGAACAUGGCAUUGUGGCAAUCAAGGUGCGGCGUAUCAUCCGCCUACAUAAUCGAACACUGCGGUCACGCUUUGAUAAUAAACUUGUAUCAAUUGUGGACAACCCAGAAGGGGAAUACUUCAUCUCAAAUAGAAAUGUUGGUUACAAGAAGCUACUUGAGUACCUGUUCUGGAUGUGGGACCCCUCGCUACCAGGUGGGACCAACGAGCCUGAAAGGAUACUGGAGGAAGGCUUCAUGGAUGCGGAGAACUAUACGGACUUAAGCCGAGAUGGUGCAGUGCCGUUAAGCAACAGUCUGAGUUUAGCGGACAGACACCGGAUAAACCACCUCAUGAACAAAAACAGAGGCAAGGAGGUCCAAGAGUUCUGCCCCUUUAAAUAUGGCCAGUUAGUGAUUUCAAAGGUGUAUCUUGGGAAAAAUGCCAAAGCCCUGGAUGAUAAAAUAAUUCAGCAGUCAUCAUAUCCAAAGUUAGACUCUGUGUUCAGGCCGAGGAAAAUGUGUGUUAACCAUGAUAAAAAUAAAUUAAACCUCGACAAUUCGUCAUGUGAGUGCAGCUCUCGGCAGUGUGAAUGGUACAUCUUCGAUAACGAGCUCGUUCUGCCCGAGUACAUUGUCGAGUUUGAAUAUGUCACCAAGAUGAGACCAAAAUCUCCGUUUGCUCAAUUUAACGAAGUGUUACUGGACAACAAGGAUAGCAACUACCCGAGCCUGCCCCUCCAGGAAGAGGAUAAACAAGUGGACAGCGAUGUCCUGAAUAUGGAGCCCCAGCCCAAACAAAGACCUAGAUUAGUAGCAGUAACAGAUGAACUUUUGUUGAAAAUCACCAUGGAAAAAGAGUUUGAGCAUAUAACCACCCUGAAUCUCCAUGGCAAUGGGUUGACCCGCUUGAAGCCUCUCCAGCCCCUAAAGUCCCUUAAACGCCUGGUUGUCAGCUUCAAUGAGCUCUCCAAGCUAGAUGAGCUCGCUCACAUGGGCUUGGAACAACUUGAUGCUAGUUUCAACAAAAUCGUAACUUUAGAAGGACUUAAGGGCCUACACAAACUUCGUCAGCUGGAUAUCAGCUGGAACAAGCUGACCCAUACGAAAGACGAGCUCUCCAUUCUCCGUAAACACAUGCCCAACAUUACGGCACUAGAUGUUCGCAAUAACCCAUGGCAGAAGGCUGACAGUUUGCGGCUACGUAUAAUCGGUAGAUUAAAAUUAUUGAAUCUUCUCAAUGGUGCAACAGUGACAGAAUCAGAAUCUUCUGCUGCACUGCGCAUUGCCGCAGGAUCUCGUAUUUCCCAGGUUUCAUUGCUCACAUUUUCCCGCACCGAUCAGUCCCGUCCCCGGUCACUGAGUCUUCUGUCAACGGCGCAGGUCCUGUGUACAACCAGCAGACACAAGCCAGAGAAAUUGAGCGACCAUGAUACACACUGGUAUUCAAAGAUUACUUCCCUGAAUCUGGACAAUCAACACAUCACAAAGCUGUCCAACUUGGAAAAACUGGAACAUCUGAAAUAUGCGUCCUUCAACAAUAAUGACAUCACUAAAAUAGAGGGUUUAGACCACUGCCAGAAACUUGAAGAACUCUCCAUCGAAAACAACUGUAUCUGUAAAUUAGAUGGCAUCUCAAAACUAACACACCUACGCCGCCUAAGUCUCUGCCAGAACUACAUCACCUCGCUUGAGUUCUCCAGUCUCCAAAACCUCGUACAUCUACACUAUCUUGCCCUCGACAAUAAUCAGCUUACCUCGCUGAAUGGGCUUCAGAAUUGCACCCCUCUGAUGGAGGUCUACAUCGGCAAUAACCAGAUCACGAAUAUCAGAGACGUGUUCCAUUUGAAGAGUUUGACGAACCUGGUGAUUCUUGACAUGUUUGGAAACCCUGUUGCCGUGGACAACGACAACUACCGUCUGUUUGUCAUUUACCAUCUCCGAACACUCAAGGCCCUUGAUGGCUCGGCAAUUGACACCUCAGAGGGGAAUAAUGCCAAGGAUAUGUUUGGAGGACGGUUGACUCCAGACUUUGUGGCUGAAAAACUAGGUCAUUCAAACUUCUUGGAUGUUAGAGAAAUGGACUUGCCCUCCAGCGGUAUCCGGAUAGUGGACUUAGGGGCAGCUGAUGUGUUUCUAAAUCUGCGGAGUGUGAACCUGGAGCAUAACAACCUCACCUCGUUCAGCGGACUCAUCAACCUCCCAAACCUCAGGGUGCUGUGCUUAAACCACAAUCGUAUAGAGUGUGUAAUGCCAAAACAGAAGCAAACAUCGAAAACGAAGACGGGACUCACUUCCAACCCCUCGUCUUUCAAGAACGCUGCGGAUCUCUUUAACCAGGACACAAACCUCGCUCCAGUUCUUGAAAACUUGGAGGUGCUUCAUCUUGGUUAUAACGGUAUCAAGGAUAUGGGAGCUCUUCAGUUGAGCCGACUGACUGGAUUGAAAGCGCUGUUCCUUCAAGGUAACGAAAUCCAGAAAGUCGAAGGCAUGGAGCAUCUGCAUGAUUUACGUGAGCUGGUAUUGGACCGCAACAAGAUCAAGAGCGUGUGUGAGAUGUCAUUCAUCAACCAAUGGAAUCUUCAGGAACUGCAUAUGGAGGAGAACCGUCUGAGGGAGUUGGCAAACUUUAACUGUCUGGAGAAUUUACAGAGGCUGUAUCUGGGGUCUAACAGAAUUCAGGAAGUCGGAGAGUUAGAAAACCUUGAUGGUCUACAAAGCCUCAUUGAGAUAUCCGUCGUUAAUAACCCGGCAUGGUGUUUUGCAAGAGCUGCACGACGCCAUCUACAUCGCCCGCUGCUCGUCUAUCGCCUGAAGAAUCUGCUGGUAAUCGACGGAAUUCCCGUAACAGAGGAAGAACGUGCGAAGGCGGAACUCUACUUUAUGGACCAGCAGGAAUUAGAUUUCAUACGGAAGGAUACCAUAUACCAUUUGUCUCCAACUCCUGAUUCGAUCAGCCCAGCAUUGGGGGCCAAGGGGCGGCAGAUGGUUCCUUACCAGGGAUCGGGCAGUACAAGGCACAAAUCCCGGUCAAGGUCACCAACAUGCAGCUGGCCACAUCCCCUCUCUGGAAUGGAAGUAUCUUCUAUGACGAGGCAACUGCCCAAGAUAACGCUCAGAGAGGUGGUGGUCGAAGGAGAGGUGGAAAACAAGCGAAUGGAGAAAGUGGAAUGCCAGCGCCACUCGGACGAACGAACACCAUGUACCAACAGCCCAGUGGGGGAACAGGGUACGGAGGCUUCACGUACACAAACAGCGGAAACAGGGCACAAUUCUAUCUGAACCAAAUCCCUUAUGUGGCUUCUCAGUCUUCGCAAACUGCCGAGUAUGUUGAGUGGUUGACAAGUGCAAGGAAAAUGUUGAGAAUGAAUAAUAGCAGGAACAACAGAAAAUGAUUCCUGUGACUAAUGGUGCUUACUUCACUGUCAACUCAACAGAUAUAGGAGGGGAAUCCUGCAGUGUUGACCAAGGUCUACAUGAAAAGUCUUUUGACAUUAAAAAUACUUGUUGAAUGAUGUUGGCAUUUUACACUACUUGUAAAAUGGCGUGGUUACAAUCUUUGCAUGUUACACUACUUUUAAAAUGGCAUGGUUACAAUGUAACCUGGGGCAGUGAUUACAAACUUCAUUUCUUUGUACUAUUUCUUCUGUCAAAGCAUUUAUGUUGAAAUUUGUUGAAAUAUAUUACUAUGUGAAUGUUUUACUAUAUUGUAACAUAAUUUUUUGUAAUAGAAAUGGAAUAAAUAUUACGUUUAGUUCCUUAAAAAAAGUCCUUUUCUGAGUCUGGGUCAAGACUUGGACUUGAGACUGUUCGUAAUCAUAGCCCCUGGCAUUUUACACUAAGUUACAAACUUACAUAGUUGAAAUCUUGGCAUUGAACACUGCUUAUAAAAUCACAUGGUUAUAAUGUAACUUGGCAUUUUACACAACUUGUAAGAUCACAUGAAACAAGCUUAGCAAUUCACACUACUUGUAAAAUGGUGUUACAAAUGUAACAUGGCAUUUUACACUACUUCUAAACUUACAUGGUUACAGUCUUGGCAUUUUACACUACUUGUUAAAUCGCACAGUUAAAAUACUGGCAUUUAACACAUCUUGUAAAAGCACAUGGAAACAAUUUUGGCAUUUUACACUCAAUUUGUAAAACGGUCUGGUUACAAUGUAAAUUGGCAUUUUACUCUAUUUAUAAACUUAAUGGUUGAAAUCUUGGCAUUUAUAACACUACUUGUAAAAUGACAUGGUUACAAUCUUGGCAUUUUACACUACUUGUAAAAUAGACAGGUUACAAUGUAACUUGGCAAUUUACACUUAAUAAAAUAAUAGAUAUGUAAAAAGUUACUUCCUUUGUGGCUUGUUUACAUUUAGUAAGAUGUUUCUGUGAUAAGCUUGCACAGUUGUUCAGAGUGUAUCAUUAUUUAUAGUUUGUUAAGGAUGUUUCAGAUAAUAUUCCGUCCAUCAAAUAAGCAUUCUCAUUUAACAUUCCUUAAAACAGAUUUAUUUUACCCAUGUUAAACUAUGCAUAAAACUGUUAAACCAUGUUAAACUAUGUACAUACUGCUAAACCUGUAUAUACUGUAGUGAAAUUUGCUAUUAAUUUCAUUGUAUAUUACAGACACUAUUUUUAUGUGUAUGCCAAAGUAUUAAAAUUGUGAUGUAAUAUUUAAUUGUUCCAGAGCAUUCACAAAACUGAGCCAAAAUCUAAACUAAAAGCACUAUUACUUUAAGUAUUCUUAAAAGUAUGUGAUAUUUUUUAAAUAUUUUGUUGUUUUUCCAUGUGCAAGAACAGGAGUAGCAACACAUCAUUUGCAUAAUUUUAGUUUUAAGAAAUCUGACCCACAAAUAUGUGAAUUUGAGAUGCCUGGUGGCCCCAUAUUAUAUCAGUACCAUUUGAAAUGAUUUUGAAAAAGUUUAAACGUAAAACUCUUAACAAUAAUUUUAUAACAAAAAAGGUUUUUUCACCUUUAAAGAUUACAAAAUAUGUCAGUUUAUGUCCAAUAUCAGUUUAAUUUAAGAGCACAUAAUUAUGAACACUAAUAAAUACUGUAUGAUAGGUUAAAUGAGGUACCGGAGAAUUAGUUUAUUUGUUGGGUCAGGAUUCGCUCACAGAUGUUUUUAACCUUUUGCUGCAAUUGACUUAUUUUACGUUGUUUUUUUAAUUUAACGUAUGUUUGAAAUUGACUUAUUUUAUGUUUAAUUUUUAAAAACACCAAACAGUACCUAGCAGAUACGCUUUGAACAGAAUUUUGUAAAUUGAGGCAUAAAACAAAUAAUUUUUUAAAAGUAUUACUAAUGCAUUUUUGCAAAAUAGAGCAAUCAGCAUUUCUGUCACAUUUCGAAAAUGAUAAUUAUUAAUAACGUCAAUGAGAGCUCUUAUUUGAACUUAUUGUGGCGUUUAAUCAGUGAAGCAGGCGUUUUGUUCCAAUUUCACACAAAAUAUGUUUUUUUUUUAUAUCUGACCUUUUAAUAUGUGAUUAAGUCCCUUAAGGACAGAACAAUCAGUGUGAUAUUUUGUUUUGUUUUUUAUUUUACCUAUAUUUAAGACAUAUUUAAAUUAAAGAAAAAUACUAUUAGUAUCACACCAAUAUUUUCAAAUACUAUUGCAUUUAUGGACAAUGACAGAAUGUUUGUGAUAUAAAUGCAGGAUUUGUGUACAUGUAUAACAGGGUGUGGUGCCCGGGGUAUUAAGCAUUAGUUUCUUGCCCAUUUUAGUUGUUGUUGGUUUCAAAGAAACUGCUGAUAUGUCCCGUAUUUGUCAUUAGUUGGUAUCGAUUGUUGGUAUUGAUUGCUGGAAUUGGAAACUUAUUGUUUUACAGUUUUUAAAGGUCUGGCAUUAUAGUUUGACCCCUUGCAUUGGAAAAUGUUAGCCAUGGUAUAUUUGAGACAGGGCCCACAUUCACUUACAACUUACGUCUGAGUUUCAGACUCAGACCAGGCAGUUCUUAUAUUUUGAUACCUUUAUAACUUUCAUAUAACUGUUGCAUUACAAAAAGAUGUAAAUAACUAUAAAAAUUGCUACUUGUUAAUCAUCAUGAUGGUCAAAAUCGGUCCAGACCGGCAAAUUGCCGUUUUUUAGAAGCCGUGAUGAAAACCUUGGUAUUAUCAGCAUUGCAAUCCUUGUAGUACAAAAUCUUGAACCAGUUGGCCAUUAUCCCAAAUUGGCCAUUAUUCCAGUUGGCCAUUAUUCCAAGUUGGCCAUUAUCUGAUCUGAAAAUCAAAGCACUCUUGUUAUCAAUUUCACUCUUCUUAUAGCAAAUAAUUUUUCACUUUUGAGGCUUACUGAAUAUUAGCUCUAAGGUUGAGAGUCUAUGUGUAACCAUGUAAAUGAUUAAUAUGUCUGUUUCAUGUUAAGAAAUUAACAUUUAUGACACAUGGAAAUGAAUAUGGUGCAAAUAUUUUUAUUCUUGGAUAUGUAUUGAAAUUACUGUUUUAUAAUGAGACGUUUGUUUCAACUCUGUUAGGCUUUUAAAUAAAAGUGUUUGUUUCUGAAGUACUGAUAAGCCCUUUCUUCCCACACCUCACUGACCCUUAUUUUAUUUUUGCCUAGAGACUUUUAUUUUUUCUUAUUGUGAGUAUUGGUGUUUUUUUUUUACUUGAGAAAGACGCCAUAAUUCAAGUAAACUCAUACCGUAUGGGGCUGUUUUGAAGUGUGACAAAACAUACGAAAUAUCUUAUAAAAAUAAAUCCCAACCUAUCUACCCUAUUCGUUGGGUGCAGUGAAAUUAGAAACAAACAUUUUUUUUAUUUGGCCUUUAUAUGAUUAUUAUAUGUUCAUUUAUCCUAAAUUCCGUCCAUUGUUAGAUAUGUAUAUUAAUGAAGUUAUUAUAUUUAUAAUAUACAUGUUUUAAUGUAAAGUUUAUGUGCAAAUCACAAUGUUUUAUAUCUUGAAUAGAGAAAAUAAAAUCAC